AUUGAACGCUGGCGGCAGGCCUAACACAUGCAAGUCGAACGAGUGGCGGACGGGUGAGUAAUGUCUGGGCAACUGCCUGAUGGAGGGGGAUAACUACUGGAAACGGUAGCUAAUACCGCAUACCCUCGGAUGUGCCCAGAUGGAUAUAGCUAGUGGGUGGGGUAACGGCUCACCUAGGCGACGAUCCCUAGCUGGUGUGAGAGGAUUAGCGGCCACACUGGACCUGAGACACGGUCCAGACUCCUACGGGAGGCAGCAGUGGGGAAUAUUGCACAAUGGGCGAAAGCCUGCUGCAGCCAUGCCGCGUGUAUGAAGAAGGCCUUCGGGUUGUAAAGUACUUUAAGUGGGGAGGCGUUACCCGCAGAAGAAGCACCGGCUAACUCCGUGCCAGCCGCCGCGGUAAUAC
rnacentral:rRNA from 1 species